UUUCACAUGCUAUAGAAGACUAACAAAAUACUUCAAGAAACUACUUUCAAGUUAAGGUUGUUUUUCCCUCUAGCAAGGCAUUAACAUUAGGACAGUUGGGAACCUCCCGGAGGGACAUCACACAGAUCCCACCAGGAGUGUGUGUGUGUGGGGGGGGGUUUGCAGGGUGUCAGCUUGUGCUUUGUCCUCAGUUCACCUUCCGUUCUCUCAUCAUACCCCAAAAAAGAAAGAGACAAUUGGUUUUUUUCAAGACAUGUUCUGAUUGGAGUAGCGAGUAAAGAAGUCCACAGCACCCUGCCUGUGAGGGAAGACUGAUAACGCACUUUUCAAAGACCACAAGGCUUGUGAUUCCAAAACUUGGCAGAUUUCCAUUCUCUUCCCUAUUUCUACUAAACUGGAAUCUCUCAGGAAAGACCUAGAGAGCUUGGAUUUUUAACAGGUGCAAAACAUUUGUUUGAACCCAGGUCUUCACUGGAAGUCAGGUUUACACAUCGGGAUUGCAUUUGCCCCAGGAUGGAUCAUACCCGGAGUCUCACCCAUAUGACAUAGCAUAAACCUUGACAUCCUACAUUAUAAGUGAGAUAAUUAUCCAGAAAAUCCUUCAACUUGCU